AAGUCGUAACAAGGUUUCCGUAGGUGAACCUGCGGAAGGAUCAUUACCGAGUACUCCUGCUUCAGGAACUCCCACCCUUGACAGCUCGACGUUGCUUCGGCGAGACGCUGGAAACAGCCGCUGGCGGAAGAUCAAUUCUGCCGGCGCGGGCUCGCCGGAGUUCAUACUCUGAAUUUGUAUCGUCAGAUAAACAAGCAAUGAAAAAAACUUUCAACAACGGAUCUCUUGGUUUUG
rnacentral:misc_RNA from 1 species